rnacentral:rRNA from 1 species
GAUAAACGCUGGCGGCGUGCAUGAGACAUGCAAGUCGAACGGGUGACUCGGAGCUUGCUCUGAGUCGCUAGUGGCGGACGGCUGAGUAACGCGUAGGUGACCUGCCCCGAAGUGGGGAAUAACUGCCCGAAAGGGUGGCUAAUACCGCAUGUGAUCGUUCAUUCAAUUGAUCGAUCAAAGCAGUAAUGCGCUUUGGGAGGGGCCUGCGUCCGAUUAGCUCGUUGGUGGGGUAAUGGCUCACCAAGGCGACGAUCGGUAGGUGGUCUGAGAGGACGAUCACCCAGACUGGGACUGAGACACGGCCCAGGCUCCUACGGGAGGCAGCAGUCGGGAAUUUUGCUCAAUGGGCGCAAGCCUGAAGCAGCAACGCCGCGUGAGGGAUGAAGGCCUUCGGGUUGUAAACCUCUUUUCUCAGGGACGAUUAUGACGGUACCUGAGGAAUAAGCCACGGCUAACUACGUGCCAGCCGCCGCAGUAAAAC